UAGAGUUCCUGCCCCUUACGGGUAGUUCUCCCACCCUGUGUUAUCAUUACCUUUGUUGCUUUGGCGGGCCGCCAGGCCUAGGUCAGGCUACCGGCUCCGGCUGGUAAGCGCCCGCCAGAGGACCCUAAACUCUGAAUGUUAGUGUCGUCUGAGUACUAUGUAAUAGUUA
rnacentral:misc_RNA from 1 species